rnacentral:snRNA from 1 species
AAAAUUUUUCAAAAGAAAAAAAAAAUCUGUUCUUAUCAGUUUAAUAUCUGAUACGUCCCCCAUCCGGGGACUACAUAUUAAAUGGAUUUUUAGAUCACGGAGCUGGAGCCGGGGCUUGCUCCGUCCACUCCAUGCAUCGGCCUGGUAUUGCAGUGUCUCCAGGAACGGUGUGCUUUCC